CAGAACAAAGAGUGACUGUUGACUAGAG
rnacentral:piRNA from 1 species